AUUGAAGAAAAAGUGUGGGAUUUCAAGGGAUUAAGCUAAUAAAGGUGGUGAGCCCUCUAAUAAGGGUAAAAAGAUUGUGCUCAAAGACCGAGAAUAAGAGUAUAUCGAACUCCUAGUACUACUCAAGGUAGCUUGUGGAUAGCAGAUAUCGUCAAGGAUUAUAGUUGGCUUUACUACUCCAAAAAUUGUAGGAUUACUGCCCUUUAGCACUUUUGCUCCUUGUGGGGCCACGAGUCACUAUAAAGUAAAUUUCAUAUCUCGGUUAUCUGUAUUAUAGUACGUAUGAAUUUAUUUAGCUUUUACAUUACAAAA